CAGGGCUGGGAGGGCCAGGCAGGUGGGGAAGGCUUGCAGGCCAGGCCCAACGCCUUGAGAAGCCAAUGGGCUCCUAAAGGGUACUUCAUUCUGGGUGAGGCCCAAGACAUAGUGGCCACACUUCCUCCCAUGCUCAGGGAUUCGGGGUCUAAACAAGCCUGGGCCUGAUCCCUGCCAUGGUCGCUGCACAGCAGGGAGUCUCCUGGAGUGGGGCCCUAGGGUGGAGCUGCUCAUGGGCAGCUUGCCUACUCCCACCCCUGUCUGUCUCUCCCAGCCCUCCUGUAGGUCAUUUCUGAGAGCUCAAGGACACAGCUGCCAAAGAAAUACCACAGGGCACAGCACUGUGGACCUUGGAGUGGAGGACGGUGGGGAAGACAGGGGCAGCUUGCGCCAGGAUCUCACGGGAGCAGAGGGCAUGGUGCCGACAGCAAAGCCAGUCCACCAUGGGACUACUGGCCUGUGCCUGCUGCUCGGUGGGGCAGGCUGGAUGUGCAGAGGGGCUGGCCUGUCCCCAUGGUCCUGAUGACAGGACCAGCUUCAAGAGAAGGCUGAGCUUGUCUGCAUGACAGAGCUCCUGCUGACUACCUUCAGGGCUUGGCAGAUGGAAUUGCUCAAAAAACAUUCAACAAAGCAGCUGUCUUAGUCAAGACUCCUUCGGUUACAAGUUUAGGCAAAAGGAAGUUUCUUUGGGAAAGUUCUCAUAACUGCAGGGAGAGCGGGGUGUAGAUGGGCCUCAGAGAUGGCUGGAACCAAGGACUGACACCACACCCGAAUUCACUUGCAUCUUCUGCCCUCGCUCCAUUUCCUCCCCAUGCUGAAGGACUUGACCAUAAAUGGCUCCAGAGCUUUCUGGCUCCAAAUCAGCAGGUGAACUAAGCUACUUCUUUACAUUUUCACACUGAUAAAUGUCAGGGAAGAAUGCUGACUGACCCAACUGGAGCUAAUUGCUCACCCUUGGACCAAUCACUAUGAAAAGGGUAUCCAGGAAUAUGACAUUUCCCACUCAAAGCUCGUGGUCAGAAAAGAGUGAAGAGUGGAUCCUGGGAGAUGGAGGAUGCUGCUCUGGGCAGACAAAUGGAGUUAAACAUUACAAGAAGGAAGAAUCAUUGAGUGGACUUCUUCUGUAAUGGAGAGCUGUCACAGACACUUCUUUAGUGACAGUAGUUAAGAGUUUUACAAGGAUGCAAGGAGAACCUGAAACCAGAUAACCCAACUCAGGCUGUGGUAGUUGGGGAAAUUUUCCCUGAAGAGGUGACAUUAAUGCUAAUUUUUGAAGAAUCCAAAGGACUUGGCUGGGCACAGUGUUGGGGGUGAAGAGGAGAAUGUUCCAGGCUCAGGGAAGAACGUGUACAAGAUCUGUACUCGUAGCUGACAGAUACUGACAUGAAACUGCGUGAGUGACUGGCUGGGUAGAAACCUUGGCCACCUGGAGGGACUUCCUCAUCUGAAGGACGCAGCUGCUUUUUGCUCCAGCCAGAGUUAUGUCAAGUGGAAAUGAGGGUCUAGUGUUGCCAGAGUUUUUGAUGUUUAAGAGAAGCUGGUCAUCUGGAAUUUUUUUUCAUAAAACUUCUCAAUCUUUUUAAUGUUAGCAAACAAUCCCCUUCUCCUUCAUAGCUAAACAAAACCUGUAAGCUAACAGGCUUUUUUUAACCUGUGCAUGGCUGAACCACAAUUUAUUUAUUUCUCUCCUGGGCUACACCUUGAAGUUAUUUUUUAUGGUUCCCCGUUACAAAUAAUUCUGUAAUGAAUAUCCUUGGACAGACAACCUCAACAGUUUCUCUGGCUAUGAAAGUUUGCACCAGACAGCCACUUGUGACCUUGCAACUGCUAGACCUUGUGACCUCUUCAGCCCCAUCCUCCUUCCCCCCUCCUUCCCCACAGCCCUUCACAUCCCCCCAGUUCUCCUUCUACUUUUCCAACUGUUCUUUUCAAUUUCCUUCAACGUCUUAGUCAACUCCAGCAAUGGCUGCAAUGGAAUCCACAUCACUAGUAAGGAGUCUAUGAGGUGAUCUGGGGGGUAUGGUCCCACAGAAGGUGCCCAGCUCUCACCUGGGCUGAGAGCAUAGCUGGUUGGUCUUGGGCGGUAUCUCAAGCCAAAGCCCUGGCCUGGUUGGCUCUGCUGCCCUACUUCCUGGAAGGGAAGGGCCUGAGGCUGGCUCAGCAAGCACAAUGGUUGCUAAAAGACCAGCAAAUACAUUCUUGGUGGAUUCUGCCCUGCUCUGAUAAGGCGGGUAUGGAGGAGAUGAGGAGCUGGAGGUCUGGUGCCAAAGUCCUGAGAGGAGUUCCCACCACACAGGAGAGAAGAACCGGGAUCCUCUUAGAGCUGGCAGGCAGAGCUAUUGCCUCAGCUCUCUGGCUGUGCCCAGAUUUCUUCCUAUGGUGCCCUCUUGUGCCAUGGUCUUUGUGUUGUGAGUGGACUGUCCUUACCGUGGCCAUCAAUAGCCAGCCUGAAAUGUGGUGGGGGAACAAAGGGUGAGAGGGAGGGCAACUUCCCUAGCCCCCAGGGCCUUUAUUGAGGGAGACAAUGAAAAGCUUUAUUUCCUGUUUGUCUUGAAGCAUCCCUCUUGGGUCUUUGAUUGAAUCAAGUGGUACCUACUGUCGGAGACUGCCAGAUUUUUAAAGUUAUGAAUAAAAUAAAGCUACAAUGGAGUCUGGCUGUCAGUGAACAUCCUUCUAAAAUAAUUGUAAAAAUAAUAAAAGUUAGCAUAAAACAACAAUGUUCUCAUUUACUGAACACUUAGUCUAUGCCAGGCAUCAUGCUAAGGGGGUCUUCAUUCUUUAUCUCAUUUAGUCCUCAUGCCAGCCCCCAGAGUUUAGAUUGAUAGCUGUGAUCUCAGGAUGAGCUUAAGAAACCUGCUUAGAAAUUGUAUUAAGAUAAUACCUGUCAAGAGGGACAAGCUUGACUGCUACAGGUCCCACAAGUCCCCACCCAGACCUCAGCAGACAAGACCCUGUUUCUACAACAUACCCACUCAUCUGUCUUAUGUUUGUUCGCAGCAGUCCUAGAUCGUAUGUCACCGCCUGAGACCACAGUACCUUUAGAUGCUGUAUCCCCUUAGGUUCCUCUUGCUUAUGACAGAGGCUGGGGGGAAACUGCAUGUGGAGAGAGGGCCCCAAAUCCCCAUAAGCUUCUGCCUCUUGGUUUGAAACCUAAAGUGAGACACUCUAGACUGUAGUGGAGCAAGCCACCCAAUGCCCCCUCACUCAGCAAGAGCUUCCUUCUAAGUUUGGGUUUUUUAUAACCUCCCUUGACUCUACAGUUUAUGUGGAUUACACAUACUUAGACAUUUGUGAUGAUAUGAUGGUCACUAUUCCUAAUGUGAACUCUUUGGAGAUCCAUGAGAUCCUGUGUUUUAUAGAUUGACUUUUUCAUUCAUUUGUUGAGGUUCACUGAGCACUCUCUGUGCCUGGCACUGCUAGAGGGAAUAGGAAUAAUGUGAUGAGUGGGACAGUUGUGGCCCCACCUUGCUGGGUCACAUUCUUGUGGGAAAAAUACUCAAUGAAAUACUAGCAAAAUGAAGCUAGUAACAUAUAUGAAGGAGUAUACACUAUGGCUCAAUGAGAUUUAUCCCAGGAAUGCAAAGUUGGUUUAAUAUCUGGAUAUCAGUGUAAUAUACCAUAUUAAUAGAAUUAAUGACUAAACCACAUGAUCAUUUCAAGCAUUUGAAAAAAUUUAACACUCUUUCAGGAUGGAAACAUUCAACAAACGAGGCAUAGAAAGGAAUUUCCUCAAUCUGAUAAAGGGCAACUAUUUUCUUUUUGUUUUAAAAACACAGCUUAACAUCAUAUUUAAUGUUUAAUGGUGGAAAGUUGAAUGCAUUCCCUGCUAAGAUCAGGAACAAGGAAAGGAUAUUUGUUCUCACCAAUUGUAUUCAGCAUUGUACUGAAGCUUGUAGCUAGAGUACUUAAGCAAGAAAAUGAAAUAAAAAUCAUCAAGAUUGGAAAGAAAGAACUUAACUAUCUCUAUUUGUAAAUGCCAUCAUCUUGUAGUAUAUAAAAAAUCCUAAGGAAUCCACUAAAAAACUA